AGUACACAGCUGGUCUUGCUCCUUACACGUUCCCCGAGCUUCUCAUCUGGAAGAACAACGUCCCUAUCUGGCGCAGCGGUCCCUGGAACGGUCAGGUUUUCGUCGGUUUACCCGACGUGGACUCUCUUCUGUUUCUUGAUGGGUUUAACCUCAACAAUGAUAACCAAGGAACGGUUUCGAUGUCCUACGCUAAUGGUUCUUUCAUGUAUCAUUUCAACUUGGAUCCUGAUGGAGCUAUCUACCAGAGAGACUGGAGAGCUCCUCUGAGAGACUGGAGGAUCGGUGUUAGGUUUCCAAAGACGGACUGUGAUGCAUAUGGUAAGUGUGGUCCGUACGGGAUCUGCAAUUCAAGGGAAGAGACACAAUGUAAAUGCGUUAAAGGGUUUGUGCCGAUGAACGAGACCGAGUGGGAUGCAAGGAACUGGAGUAAUGGGUGUGUGAGAAAAGCUAUGUUGAAGUGCAAUGCAAGUAACGGUGGUGGUGGAGGAAAAGAAGAUGGGUUUAUGAAACUGGAGAAGAUGAAAGUGCCGAUCAAUGCAAUACAGUCUCUAGCUAACGAGCAGGCUUGUCCACAGCAAUGUACUGAUAACUGUUCUUGCACGGCUUAUGCUUAUGAUAAAGGGAUUGGAUGCAUGCUUUGGAGUGGUAGCUUGGUUGAUAUGCAAUCGUUUGUUGGAAGUGGCAUUGAUCUUAAUAUUAGACUUGCUCAUUCUGAACUCAGUGAGUAAAAAAUAUUUCUCUCUACUAGUCUCUCACUUAGUUUUAUUUAGUUGACUUAUGUUUGCUCACCAAAUCUUUGUAGAAACACAUAGUAGUUUAGCAAUUGUGAUCACUGCAUCCGUGCUAGGUGUUGCGUUCGUUGCUGCUGUUUGUGUUCUUUUAGCAUGCAGGAGAUUCAGAAAACGUCCAGGUUAGAGUUUUUUUUUGUGUAGCUCAUUGAUGAUGUUAUAUUGUUUUUUUAUUAACCAUAAUUUUGUUUGUUAUAUUGUCUUAGCAGAACCAAAGAAAGAUAGAAGUGCGGAGAUAAUGUUUAAGAGAAUGGAAGAACUUACAAGUGGUAAUGAGUCUGCUUCUAACCAAGUGAAGCUCAAGGAGCUUCCUCUCUUUGAGUUUCAAGUGUUAGCCACAGCAACUGAUAGCUUCUCUCUCAGAAACAAGCUCGGACAAGGAGGGUUUGGUCCUGUUUACAAGGUGAAUGCAUCUAACAAGAACCAGUUUUGAAAAAAAAGAUGUGUGUAUAUUCUCAGACUAACUGAUUGGUAAUGUUUUUUAUCUUCAGGGUAAAUUGCCGGAAGGGCAAGAAAUAGCAGUGAAGAGGCUCUCAAGGGCAUCAGGACAAGGACUUGAGGAGCUUAUGAACGAAGUGGUUGUGAUUUCGAAGUUGCAACAUAGGAAUCUGGUGAAGUUACUUGGCUGUUGCAUUGAAGGUGAAGAAAGGUUGCUAGUCUACGAAUAUAUGUCAAAGAAAAGCUUGGAUGCUUAUCUAUUUGGUAAAGUUACCUCCUCUGUCUUUAAACUCUGUAUUUACCUGAGUUGAUUGAAUACAAGGCUAAUGGGGUUGCUAGCUUUUUUUUUCAGACCCAUUGAAGCAAAAGAUUCUUGACUGGAAGACACGGUUGAACAUAAUGGAAGGAAUAUGCAGAGGUCUUUUGUAUCUUCACAGAGAUUCAAGACUAAAGAUCAUACACAGAGAUCUAAAAGCUAGCAACAUUUUGUUAGAUGACAAUCUGAAUCCCAAAAUAUCUGAUUUUGGGCUUGCAAGAGUUUUCCGAGCUAAUGAAGAUGAAGCUAACACAAGAAGGGUUGUAGGAACUUAGUAAGUAUCCCAUUCCCAAUAUACAAGAACACAUAUUUUGAAAACCAUCAUAACCAUUUGUUAUUGCAGCGGCUACAUGUCACCGGAAUAUGCAAUGGAAGGUUUAUUUUCAGAAAAGUCAGACGUUUUCAGCUUGGGGGUUAUACUUUUAGAGAUCAUAAGUGGGAGAAGAAUCUCUCACAAGGAAGAAAAUAAUCUAAACCUUUUGGCAUAUGUAAGUGUGUACUGUUUAGUAACUUUACUAGCUUUGAAUCUUACCAGUAAUAUGGUCUUUUUACAGGCGUGGAAGCUUUGGAAUGAGGGUGAGGCUGCUUCUCUAGCAGAUCCAAGCGUCUUUGAUGAGUCUUUCGAGAAAGAGAUAACGAAAUGUGUUCAGAUUGGUUUGUUGUGUGUGCAAGAAGUUGCUAACGAUAGACCGAAUGUUUCAACCGUGAUUUGGAUGCUAACCACCGAAAACACGAACCUCAAAGAGCCGAAGCAGCCUGCGAUUAUAGCAAGAAGAGGAGCUUCUGAGGCUGAAUCUUCUGACCAGAGUAGUCAAAAGGUCUCUAUCAAUGAUGUGAGUCUCACAGCUGUAACAGGGCGCUAAGCUCACAGAGCUAAUAUUUUUGUUUAUAUAAUGUAUGUUUUGAGAAUCACAUAUGCUUGCAAAUUGUGUUAUUCUGUGCAUGUUUAAUAGUUUGGUUAAAUAAUACUCUCCCAGUUUCAAAAUAAUAUAUAUUUUAGAGUUUUCACACUUAUUAAGAAAACACGUAAAAUAUGGAUCUCUUAGAAACAAUUUUUUUUUCUAAAAUAUGGAUCAUUCUGAAAUGGAAGAGUAAAAAAAUGUAUUUUCAGGGAAGUUAUGUUUAGAUUCAUUUAGCAUAGACUUGUUAUCAUUACCUCAGUUAAAAACACAUAAUGUGAAACUGAGCUGUGGUGAUAGUUACAAAUUUACAAUAGAUUCUAGUACUGUAAGUCUGUAACUUGACCUACUCUUAGAUGAAUUAAUUAACUUGGAUGAAGAAACUGAACGUGUAACAUGUUCUUGACUCUUGAGAAGCCACAGACAGUAAGUUUUGUCUUGAAAAGAUUCUCCUUAUCUUGCUUUUCUUCUUCUUUUUCUUUUUUUUUUUAUUUCUUAUUGGAAUCUCCAAUAAUGAUGCCUGCUUGAAUGUCAUUGGUCUAUGUGAUUUUAGUGCUAGUCUUCAAAGGCAUAUUCAUGGAUGGCGGCCAUGUUUUAUUGCCUUGAUGGGUAAUAAAAGAGUAGAUCAUUGCCUAUCGUCUCUCUUAUAAAAUAUUUGUUGAGACAUGGUAACAUAGUGGUGAAGCUGGAGGAAUAAUGCAGUUAGUAUGUAUGUCGCCAUUGCAACUUGACAGAGUUCUGGCAUCUUAACAGUAUGUGAAAGAGCUAAACACAAUUUCUAAAACAUAGUCAUCACUAGAAUAGUUUGCAUGUGACUUUACAGAAAGACAAAGAACAUCAAGUUGAUUGAGAGGGAUGGUAACUUAUGACCUUUCACCACUCAAUAACAAAAUCGCUAGACUUACUAUGUUGAAGUCACUGCCCAUUAUGUCCCACUACGACAGAACCAAAAAUCUUCCUUGAAAGAUUAAAACAUCAGCACUUUCCUCUUCUUAAGUCUUCUUAUAGAGACAAAGACCACCACUAUAUUAACUUACCUCUCGUACACUAUAUCUUACAAAGAGAAACAACAAAGCAAAACUAGAACUUCUCUGUUUCACUUAGUAGUUAUGGUGGUUCUACUGAACUCACAUCCUUGUUUUGUUCUUCUUCUUCUUCUUGCAGCAUUCUCUUGCUUCUCUCUGAGGUUAUGUUUCGGCGAAGACAGACUCACCUUCUCAACUCCGAGCAAAGACUCAGAGUCAAAGACACUUCUAUGCAAAAAGGGCAUUUUCAGGUUUGGUUUCUUCACUCCUGCAAACUCCACUUCUCGCUUACGUUAUGUUGGGAUUUGGUACGACAAGAUUCCAGUUCAAACAGUGGUCUGGGUCGCCAACAGAGACGCUCCCAUCAACGACACUUCCGGUGUUGUUUCCAUCUCUGACGACGGAAACCUCGUGGUUACCGAUGGUAGAAACCGCAGUAUAUGGUCGACCAACGUCACAGUACCAGUAGCUCCAAAUGCCACUUGGGUUCAGCUAAUGGAAAACGGGAAUCUUAGGCUACAAGACAACAGAAACAACGGCGAGAUCAUAUGAGAGAGUUCCAAGCACCCCUAUAGCUCUGUGUUGCCAAGAAUGAGUCUCUUGACCAACAGUAAAACCGGAGAAAACAUCGGUCUUACUUCUUGGAGAAACUAUACUGAUCCUUCAACAGGGAACUACACAGUUGGCCUUGUCGCUUUCCCGUUUCCCGAGCUUCUAAUCUGGAAGAACAAGGUUCCACAGUGGCGUAGCGGUCCCUGGAAUGGUCAGGUUUUCAUCGGUUUACCGGAUAUGGAUUCUCUCCUCAACAUUGAUGGUUUUAACCUCAACAAUGAUAACCAAGGAACGGUUUCGUUGAGCUAUGCUAAUGACUCCUUCAUGUAUCACUUCAACUUGGAUCCUAAUGGAGCUAUAUAUCAAAGAGACUGGAGUACUUCUAUGAAU
rnacentral:lncRNA from 1 species